rnacentral:rRNA from 1 species
AGAAGAAGCACCGGCUAACUCCGUGCCAGCAGCCGCGGUAAUACGGAGGGUGCGAGCGUUAAUCGGAAUUACUGGGCGUAAAGCGUACGCAGGCGGUUUGUUAAGCGAGAUGUGAAAGCCCCGGGCUCAACCUGGGAACUGCAUUUCGAACUGGCAAACUAGAGUGUGAUAGAGGGUGGUAGAAUUUCAGGUGUAGCGGUGAAAUGCGUAGAGAUCUGAAGGAAUACCGAUGGCGAAGGCAGCCACCUGGGUCAACACUGACGCUCAUGUACGAAAGCGUGGGGAGCAAACGGGAUUAGAUACCCCGGUAGUCCACGCCGUAAACGAUGUCUACUAGGAGUUCGGUUUUUCGGAACUGUCUUCCAAAGCUAACGCAUUAAGUAGACCGCCUGGGGAGUACGGCCGCAAGGUUAAAACUCA